AUGGCUAUUCACAUUGAAAACACCGGUUCUCGUCCGAUCAUCGAAGUUGAGCAAUUUCGGUCAGUACUUGGGAGAGUGCCACUUAGAAACACUGGGUGCUGUAGGCU